rnacentral:rRNA from 2 species
UUUAUAUGAGAGUUUGAUCCUGGCUCAGGAUGAACGCUGGCGGCGUGCCUAAUACAUGCAAGUCGAACGAGUUCUGAUUAUUGAAAGGUGCUUGCAUCUUGAUUUAAUUUUGAACGAGUGGCGGACGGGUGAGUAACACGUGGGUAACCUGCCCUUAAGUGGGGGAUAACAUUUGGAAACAGAUGCUAAUACCGCAUAAAUCCAAGAACCGCAUGGUUCUUGGCUGAAAGAUGGCGUAAGCUAUCGCUUUUGGAUGGACCCGCGGCGUAUUAGCUAGUUGGUGAGGUAACGGCUCACCAAGGCAAUGAUACGUAGCCGAACUGAGAGGUUGAUCGGCCACAUUGGGACUGAGACACGGCCCAAACUCCUACGGGAGGCAGCAGUAGGGAAUCUUCCACAA